GGCAACUACCAUGUAGUGUGAUGACAUCCCGAUUAUCAUUCCAAAUGGAUGGUCAUAGGUUUGAACCCUGAUUGGAGGUUUAAUUUCAUU